AAAGGGUAGCAAUACCUGAGUACAGUGGCGCACGGGUGAGUAACACGUGAAUCAUCUACCUCCGAGUGGGGAAUAACCUAGAGAAAUCUGGGCUAAUACCGCAUAACACUUACGAGUCAAAGCAGCAAUGCGCUUGGAGAGGAGUUCGCGGCCGAUUAGUUAGUUGGCGGGGUAAUAGCCCACCAAGACGAUGAUCGGUAUCCGGCCUGAGAGGGCGCACGGACACACUGGAACUGAAACACGGUCCAGACUCCUACGGGAGGCAGCAGUGGGGAAUUUUGCGCAAUGGGGGAAACCCUGACGCAGCAACGCCGCGUGGAGGAUGAAAUCCCUUGGGAUGUAAACUCCUUUCGAUCGGGACGAUUAUGACGGUACCGGAAGAAGAAGCCCCGGCUAACUUCGUGCCAGCAGCCGCGGUAAUACGAGGGGGGCAAGCGUUGUUCGGAAUUAUUGGGCGUAAAGGGCGCGUAGGCGGUCUGACAAGUCUGAUGUGAAAUCUCUGGGCUCAACCCAGAGUCUGCAUUAGAAACUGUCGGGCUUGAGUAUGGGAGAGGUGAGUGGAAUUUCCGGUGUAGCGGUGAAAUGCGUAGAUAUCGGAAGGAACACCUGUGGCGAAAGCGGCUCACUGGACCAUAACUGACGCUGAGGCGCGAAAGCUAGGGGAGCAAACAGGAUUAGAUACCCUGGUAGUCCUAGCCCUAAACGAUGAUUGCUUGGUGUGACAGGUACCCAAUCCUGUCGUGCCGAAGCUAACGCGAUAAGCAAUCCGCCUGGGGAGUACGGUCGCAAGGCUGAAACUC
rnacentral:rRNA from 1 species